UACGGAGGGUGCGAGCGUUGUCCGGAAUCACUGGGCGUAAAGGGCGCGUAGGCGGCCUGGUAAGUAGGGGGUGAAAUCCUGCGGCUUAACCGCAGGGCUGCCUUCUAAACUGUCAGGCUCGAGCACAGUAGAGGCAGGUGGAAUUCCCGGUGUAGCGGUGGAAUGCGUAGAGAUCGGGAAGAACAUCAGUGGCGAAGGCGGCGUGCUGGGCUGUUGCUGACGCUGAGGUGCGAAAGCGUGGGGAGCAAACAGG
rnacentral:rRNA from 1 species